rnacentral:tRNA from 1 species
UAGCUCAGUUCGUAGAGCAUGGUGUUUGCAACGCCAGGGUUGUGGGUUCGAUUCCCAC